rnacentral:lncRNA from 1 species
CUUGCCUAGCAUGUGUGAGGCACUGGGUUGGAUUCUAAGCAAUGCAUAUAAAUAAACGAAUAAGAUAAAAAGGUCCAUAAAAGAGACACUAUUUCAAUAAUCAUUCACUUUCUAGCACUGUCCCAUUCAGUUAGUGGCAGAAAAGAUGAGAUUUUAAAAAACAGUUUUAGCCACUCUUGUGUUGAUUCCUUCAUUCACCGGUUACUUGCUAGGCACAUUUUCUUUUUUUUUUUUUUAAUCUUUUAAUUGAGAUUGGAUAUCUUCAGACUCCUGUUGAUUCAUGUUAAAUCAAUUAUAACUGAAGUGAUUUAAACGUGCUUUUGAUUUGAAGCUAUUUUCAUUCCAGAAAAAUAAAGAGAAUCAUGAAUUCACUGUGAUAAAUUCUUUUCUAAUUUAAUGCAAUCACUUAUUAUUUUGUUCACUUCAGAGGGAUAACUUUAUAAUAAAUAGGAUAUUCUUGUUUCUCUAUUUGUGUCUCUAUUUGAAUGUAAUGGUAGGAUAGGCCCUGGAGUGAACAGUGAGGUCAUUUGUGGCAGGAACAGUGGCUCUUUAUCAGGGUCUCCCAGGAUGGUUUUAGCUUGAUAAUUAUUAUAGUUAAGAAUGUGAUUUUAUUGCUAUCAGUACCUCAGAGUUGAUUAACAUGCUUGUAAUCCAGCAACUUUGGAGGCAGGAGGAUCCAAAGGUCAAGGCCAACUUCGGCAGCUUAAUGAGAACCUAAACAACUUAGACCCUGUCUCAAAAAAAAGGCUGGGACCAACCAACCUCAGAAACAUAGUGAGGACCUACGCAACUUAGCAAGGCCCUGUCUUAAAAAAUAAAAAGGGCUGAGGAUGUGAUUCAGUGACAAAGCACCCCUGGGUUUUUAAAAAAAAAAAAAAAGUGUUGAAAGCAGAUAAACUGGGAAUCAGAACAAAAUGAGGUGAAUCGUUUUGAGGGAUAUUUUGUUCAGAUCAUGGAGUGAGGCCCCAAAGCAAUAUAGCUCUCCAAGACAAAAACUAGUGCUCCGUGGAUUUUGUGUCUGUUUCCUGGACAACACUGGGUAAAACUGGCAAUUCUCAUUCCACAGACUAAUCUACAUACUUUCUCUAAAGAGUGUACUGAUGAUUGUUUGGGUUUUUACCAACUGAACUGCAGACACUUCCAGUUUUGCUUCCUGAGAUUGCAUUCACAAUUAGAGUUUGGACAGGAAGGGGGUUCUAUACUCCUCAGUUACACCAUGCACAAGCAGUUUUAUGGAUUGCUCCACAACCAACUUAUAAAUUAUAAGAUUUUAGGAGGUUUAUUCUCAGAAGCUACCUUAUUUUCAACAUUGUUGCUAUUUAUGAGAAGUUACUUCCCCCAAAGGAAACAUUUAAAAUGCUUUCCAUUCUAUCUAGUAUUUACUAGAGUCUGCACCAUACUUUACUCCGGAAAUGAUUACUUGAGGCUGGUGAGGGGUGGAGUUCAAAGAGUUAUUUAUUGUAAAGGUUGAAAUCACAAGACCCAGUUUUCCAGCAAUUUGCUUAACCCUGAAACCUUUAUACUUGGGGUGAUAAUUACACAACUCUGAAUAUACUAAAAAUCAAUUAAUUGUAUA